GACGAACGCUGGUGGCGUGCUUAACACAUGCAAGUCGAACGGUGAAGGGGCCUGCUUCUGUGGGUCCUGGAUGAGUGGCGAACGGGUGAGUAACACGUGAGUAACCUGCCCCCUUCUUCUGGAUAACCGCAUGAAAGUGUGGCUAAUACGGGAUAUUCUGGGUCUGUCGCAUGGUGGGCCUGGGAAAGAUUGCGCCUUUUUUGGUGUUUUUGGUGGGGGAUGGGCUCGCGGCCUAUCAGCUUGUUGGUGGGGUGAUGGCCUACCAAGGCGGUGACGGGUAGCCGGCCUGAGAGGGUGGACGGUCACACUGGGACUGAGACACGGCCCAGACUCCUACGGGAGGCAGCAGUGGGGAAUAUUGCACAAUGGGCGCAAGCCUGAUGCAGCGACGCCGCGUGAGGGGAUGGAGGGCCCUU
rnacentral:rRNA from 1 species